AGAUUCUUCUUUAGAAAUUUGUGUAGAAUCUCUGUCUAGUUUAUUAAAGCAUGAAGAUCAUCAGGUUUCAGAUGGAGCUCUGCGAUGCUUUGCAUCACUGGCUGACCGAUUUACCCGUCGUGGUGUUGACCCAGCUCCAUUAGCCAAGCAUGGAUUAACUGAGGAGCUGUUAUCUCGAAUGGCUGCUGCUGGUGGUACUGUUUCAGGACCAUCAUCAGCAUGCAAACCAGGUCGCAGCACCACAGGAGCUCCAUCCACCACUGCAGAUUCCAAAUUGAGUAAUCAGGUGUCAACAAUUGUAAGUCUGCUCUCAACACUUUGCAGAGGCUCUCCGGUAGUAACACAUGAUCUUCUGAGGUCGGAGCUUCCAGAUUCAAUUGAAAGUGCAUUGCAGGGUGAUGAAAGAUGUGUGCUUGAUACUAUGCGUUUGGUUGACCUUCUCUUGGUGCUAUUAUUUGAAGGACGAAAAGCUUUGCCAAAGUCUAGUGCUGGAUCUACAGGCAGAAUCCCAGGACUCCGGAGAUUAGAUAGUUCUGGGGAGCGCUCACAUCGGCAGCUUAUAGAUUGUAUUCGAAGUAAAGAUACCGAUGCACUUAUAGAUGCAAUUGACACAGGAGGUCAGAAAAUAUUUUUUUAAAUAUAAAAAGAAAGUUGUGAGAUAACCAUAUAGGCAGUUUCUAGUUUUCGGACAGUACUCUUAGAAAUCCAGAUAACAAAGUGGCACCCC
rnacentral:lncRNA from 1 species